rnacentral:rRNA from 1 species
AGUGAACGCUGGCGGUAGGCCUAACACAUGCAAGUCGAACGGCAGCACAGUAAGAGCUUGCUCGUACGGGUGGCGAGUGGCGGACGGGUGAGGAAUACAUCGGAAUCUACUUUUUCGUGGGGGAUAACGUAGGGAAACUUACGCUAAUACCGCAUACGACCUACGGGUGAAAGCAGGGGAUCUUCGGACCUUGCGCGAUUGAAUGAGCCGAUGUCGGAUUAGCUAGUUGGUGGGGUAAAGGCCCACCAAGGCGACGAUCCGUAGCUGGUCUGAGAGGAUGAUCAGCCACACUGGAACUGAGACACGGUCCAGACUCCUACGGGAGGCAGCAGUGGGGAAUAUUGGACAAUGGGCGCAAGCCUGAUCCAGCCAUACCGCGUGGGUGAAGAAGGCCUUCGGGUUGUAAAGCCCUUUUGUUGGGAAAGAAAAGCAGCAGGUUAAUACCCCGCUGUUCUGACGGUACCCAAAGAAUAAGCACCGGCUAACUUCGUG